rnacentral:lncRNA from 1 species
GGCACUACAGCGAGUGAAAAUAAGCAGAAAAUUGCAAAGGGCAUAGGUUCACGACUUGAGAUCGUAUCUGUUAACGAUCGCACUUGUGAGGCAAAUCAAGAGCAUGCUGCAGUUACUCCUACAAUGCAAAUUUCCAAUCAGGAGCUGGCUAAAAUUGUAAUGGAUGCACCUGCAGUUAUGAUAAUGAACACAACUACAAAGAUUAAUGCACCUCUAGUCACGCUGAAUAUUUCAGUCUUUGAGAUACCAUCCCAAUCGAUGGAGUCUUUUGGUGAACAUGCUGAUGAUUCUGGACUGCAGCUAAUCUCAAUGGGCAACAACCAACAGUCAAAUGCAGGUAUGAUCUCACUCUUUCAAGAAUCAACAAAUGAUAUAACAGGCUAUAAGGAGCAAAAAGGAGAGACGAGUGCACUGACAGCUAAUGAAAAGAUUUGGGCUGACCAAGUUGAGGAGGAGGAACACGAUUCUGCAUAAAUUUAUUUAGGUACUAUCGAAUAUGCAACAACACUGUUACCUGCCACCCCACGAUCAAAGGAAGCAUCAGAAAAGGUAAAACAAGAGCAGGUUUCUAUCUCAACAUCAACUGCUCCAGAGAGGAGAGGUUUGAGUCCAAACGCUGUUGUAUUUGUACCUUCGGGACAGCAACAUAAGACAAACAAUUCAGCAGAUUCAAAGGAGAUCCAAAUUUCAUCCACGAACAUGGCAGCAGCUACUGGAAUUAGCACUUCAAUAACUGCAACAUACAAUUUGACACUAACAAAUAUCAUCAAUGCUCUUGUUUCACAUGACAUGGAAACAUUGAGAGGUCUUGAUAAUCAUAGGAAAGAUCAAAUAGCACUAUCGAAUGAGUACAGACAUAUUGACGAUUUUGGGAUGCAUAUGGGUCAAGACUUUUAUGAAGAAGGAGAACAUGAUGCACUACUGGAUGCCACCUUCAACAUUAUAGCUAGGGAGGGAGAUCUUUCACCAAGACAUGUGCGAAGCGGAUCCAACAAAUACAAGAAGAAGGCACCAGACAUGCAACAUAGUUGGGACGACAAAGCAACACAAGAGAUUGUCAUUAGGAAACCUCCAAUGAGAAAUGCAAAGCAAAAGGCAGUUGUACCUACGACCUCUACAAGGUCAAAUAGGUCAAAGAGAAAAUAAUAAAGUUUGAAGAAUUUUUGAAGACACUGGAAGAGGAAGCCAAUGAGCUACAAAUUGUAGAGUUCACAAGGUUGAAGAAAGAGGGGCAAGACUCAAUUUUUUUACAUUGUUUUACUUUAUCACUUUUUAAGUAUCAUCAAUUGUAAUAUCAUCACAAAGUAUGUUAUAAACUCUGUGAUGAUCAUACAGUACCUAGUUCUUUCCAGUUCUUUUUUUCUUCAUGCUUGUUAGUAGAUGAGGUUUAUUAUGCCUCAAUAGGAUCUGUAAGGUAAGGUCUAGCACAGUAUGUGUGUGCUUAUAUGCUAUGCCUUUGGGAAGACCCAAGCAGCUGUAAGGUUAUAUGCCCUCGUGAGACUUGCCAGUAGCUACACCAUGAUCCUCUACACGAGGCUGCCAUCUUAAGGCAAUGAAGGGGCAGAGGAGUGAUUAUAUAGCCAAGGCAUAAAGACAACACUACUAUAAAAAUAAAAGUAAAACAUAUAUUUCACGGUAAGAUUGACCCAAAAAAAAAAAAGGAUUUCCACGGCAAAACAUUUAGCAUUCUUCAUUCUUGUAGUUUGGGGUUCAAAAAGUAAAAGUAAACACUUAUGUCCUUAAAAACAAAGUUAACUGAACACAAAAAUAUUGUACCACACAAUUGCGUACUCGCGAGCCCGAUCUCCAACUACUUCAAACUCAAAACAUGAGAUGAAAGAUCCAUUUGUUCUGCUUUUUUAAACGGUUGAUUCGUAGAAGUUUUAAAUAAGAAAAUAAAUGACUUUGGAACUAGGUUUUUGACUGAGCUUAGGAGGUCGUUUUGGGUGGAAGAAAGCAGUUGUUCUUUGGUGGUGUUUGGGUCAUUUUUGGACUGAUUUACAACUGUUUUUGGGGUGUGUUUAGUGGAUGUUUAAGCUGAAGUUUGGGGCAGUUUAGAGGGGAUUCAUGGCUAGUUUUAGAGGUGUUUCAAUGAAGGUUUUGAGGUGGAGUUUUUUGGAGAAAUAAAGGGGUAAAGUCGGAGCU